rnacentral:rRNA from 1 species
CCUACGGGGGGCAGCAGUAGGGAAUAUUGCUCAAUGGGGGAAACCCUGAAGCAGCAACGCCGCGUGGAGGAUGAAGGUUUUCGGAUUGUAAACUCCUUUUGUUAGAGAAGAUAAUGACGGUAGCUAACGAAUAAGCACCGACUAACUCCGUGCCAGCAGCCGCGGUAAUACGGAGGGUGCAAGCGUUACUCGGAAUCACUGGGCGUAAAGAGCGCGUAGGGGGGAUAGCAAGUCAGAUGUGAAAUCCUAUGGCUUAACCAUAGUACUGCAGUUGAAACUGUUAAUCUAGAGUAUGGGAGAGGUAGGUGGAAUUCUUGGUGUAGCGGUAAAAUGCGUAGAGAUCAAGAAGAAUACUCAUUGCGAAGGCGACCUGCUAGAACAUAACUGACGCUGAUGCGCGAAAGCGUGGGGAGCAAACAGGAUUAGAUACCCCAGUAGUC